UACGGAGGGAGCUAGCGUUGUUCGGAAUUACUGGGCGUAAAGCGCGCGUAGGCGGCUUUGUAAGUUAGAGGUGAAAGCCCGGGGCUCAACCCCGGAAUUGCCUUUAAGACUGCAUCGCUUGAAUCCGGGAGAGGUGAGUGGAAUUCCGAGUGCAGAGGUGAAAUUCGUAGAUAUUCGGAAGAACACCAGUGGCGAAGGCGGCUCACUGGACCGGCAUUGACGCUGAGGUGCGAAAGCGUGGGGAGCAAACAGG
rnacentral:rRNA from 1 species